GCUCAGUGGUAGAGUGCAUGCUUCGCAUGUGUGAGGUCCCAGGUUCAAUCCCUGG
rnacentral:tRNA from 1 species